rnacentral:lncRNA from 1 species
AUCUUUUUCAAGAGCUCUUUAAGAUGUCUAUAAAGUUGUCAAUUUGACAUCUUUUUGACGUCUUGCAUGCAAAACUUAACUUUUUAAUCACCUUUAAAAGAUGACUUUUUUGACGUAUUGAAAAGUGAUCUUUAAAGACAUCUUUUGUAAGUUGUCUUCAAGUUGUCCAAUUACAGAACUUUAAGACAUCAAUUAGAGAACUUUGCUAACUCGAGUGAGUUUUUCGAACGCAGCUCGAGAGAGGGUACUGCACAACAUAACCUAGAAAAAAUAAGAUAUAAAAUUGCAGUCAUUGAGUGUUAAGUAUCGACAGUUAUCGUGUAUAUACGUGGGAUAUUAAUUUAAUAAUAAUUAUGUUGAAAAGAAAAGGUGUCGAAAACUGCAUGAAAAAACAUAUCAAAAAGAUUACUUAUAUCACGCAAAAGUUUUCUACUACGGAUGAAAUAGUGAGAAAACGAAUACAACUUUGGCUGCAAAAGUAUGGUGAUCGUAUAAAUUAAGCUCAGGAAUGAACAGUAUGACCCAACAAUGAAACAAAAGUUAUUUUUUAUUAAAAUAUUUACUGUUUUAAAUGUGAUAUUCUUGACAAAAUUAUUUUGUUUAAUACGCUUAUAAUUUUCUAAAUGUGAUGUUUUUGUAAUGUGUAGACAUAGUAAAUAUUGAAUAUACGUGCAAAAGUGUAACCGC